UACGUAGGGUGCGAGCGUUAAUCGGAAUAACUGGGCGUAAAGAGUGCGUAGGCGGAUAUUUAAGUUAGAUGUGAAAUGCCCGAGCUUAACUUGGGACUGGCAUGUAAUACUGGGUAUCUAGAGUUUGUCAGAGGGGGGUAGAAUUCCACGUGUAGCAGUGAAAUGCGUAGAGAUGUGGAGGAAUACCAAUGGCGAAGGCAGCCCCCUGGGAUAGAACUGACGCUGAGGCACGAAAGCGUGGGUAGCAAACAGG
rnacentral:rRNA from 1 species